UUACAACUCCGUAAGUGGGAAAGGCAUCUUAAUCAUUUUUAAGAGAUCAUACCCUUUAUAUAUCUUAAAUUGAUCAAGCUCUUAUUCUAUUCUCCUACAUUAUACAAAAAGAAAAUUAUGACUGCAAUCUUGAAGUAUAUUUGUACUAUAGUUCUAUUUCUUUCUGUAGCUCUUAUUGCAGCAGAAGAUGCCAGUAAGCCUUUUUUGAAUCAUAAUUUUAAAUUUUCUUCUUUAUUCAUAUAGUUCAUACACAACCUAUUUUCAUGUUUUAGUAACAUGAUUGUAUUAUUUUUUUUUUCAUUACAGAAGGAGAAUAUACAUGUGAUAAUAUUCUUGAUUGUCCCAGUGAUAUGUGUCGGAUUCGUUAUGUUUUGAGAUGUAUUGAUAACACGUGUGAAUGUGAUUUCUAUAAGAACUAUAGAUCAAAAUAGUAUUUUCACUAAGGAAGGAUGUGAUAAUUUAAGUUUCAUUUAUGUUUAUUUUUCAAAUUUCACAUGCUUUGAAGUAUUGAGUUUUAUAAGAUGGAAAUGAAAUGAAAUGAAGUAAAAUAUAAUAUUAUUAAUAUGGUUUUAUAUAACCCAUAGUUGUAUGAUAAAAAUAUUAGUAUGUGUAUCAUCCAAAAAGUUGCUUAAAAUAAUAAAUAGGAAUUAUAAUAACCCAAUGAAUUAACUAAAACUCAUG
rnacentral:lncRNA from 1 species